GUGAGCUGGCGGACGGCUUCGGGUCUUGUGCCUGAGGAAACUCCGCCCACCACGCUGAACUGCAGCAUCCGUAAGGGUGCGGGGCGAGAGCCUUGGUUCCUGAGCAGAAACGGAACGUCCAGCCGUGGGAUGAGGAUGAUGCGUGAGUAACGUUGAGGAUGCGGUUGGCUGCGGUGAAACGGCUGUCCUGCAGGGUGAAAGGGCGAAUAGGCGUCUGUGAGUUCUGCGGGAGACGCGGGUAGCCCGUAUAGCUGAAUGCCGUCAAAACAAAAGUCGGGUUACGACCAGCACAC
rnacentral:RNase_P_RNA from 1 species